GCCGAGGUGGCGGAGUCUGGUUAACGCGCAAGCCUGCUAAGCUUGUGGUCCUUGUGACCGCUUGGGUUCAAAUCCCAACCUCGGCG
rnacentral:tRNA from 1 species